rnacentral:rRNA from 1 species
GAUGAACGCUGGCGGCGUGCUUAAUACAUGCAAGUCGAACGAAGAGCCUUUGUAGCAAUACAGGGGUUUCUUAGUGGCGAACGGGUGCGUAACGCGUUGGUGACCUGCCCCAAAGUGUGGGAUAACAGUUCGAAAGGAUUGCUAAUACCGCAUGUGGUCAUCGGGUUUAGAAGCCGAUGACUAAAGCAGUAAUGCGCUUUGGGAGGGACCUGCGUCCCAUCAGCUAGUUGGUGAGGUAAUGGCCCACCAAGGCUUCGACGGGUAGGGAACCUGGGAGGGUGGUCCCCCACACUGGCACUGAAACACGGGCCAGACACCUACGGGUGGCAGCAGUAGGGAAUAUUGGGCAAUGGGCGAAAGCCUGACCCAGCAACGCCGCGUGCACGAUGAAGGUCUUCGGAUCGUAAAGUGCUUUUCUGAGAGAUGAGAAAGGACAGUAUCUCAGGAAGAAGACACGGCUAACUCUGUGCCAGCAGCCGCCGUAAAAC